UACAUAGGUCUCAAGCGUUGUUCGGAUUCAUUGGGCGUAAAGGGUUCGUAGGCGGCUCGGUAAGUCGGGUGUGAAAUCUCGGAGCUUAACUCCGAAACUGCAUUCGAUACUGCCGUGCUUGAGGACUGGAGAGGAGACUGGAAUUUACGGUGUAGCGGUGAAAUGCGUAGAUAUCGUAAGGAAGACCAGUGGCGAAGGCGGGUCUCUGGACAGUUCCUGACGCUGAGGCACGAAGGCCAGGGGAGCAAACGGG
rnacentral:rRNA from 1 species